rnacentral:lncRNA from 1 species
AUAUCCUAUCAUCAGUCAUUUACUAGCCUGUGGUCUGUUUUCAUGUGACAGGAGCAGAAAUUAGCAUGAUGGAAACGACACACCUGAAUUAUUUACUAUCUCAACAUUUACAAAAACAAGAACCUGUUGACCCCUGAUCAAGAUGAAAAAACUGAGAGUUGAAAAAGGCUGAAAGUUUUUCUCAGGGAUGCUGCAGAACUGAUGUCUGAUCUUCUGGCUCCUGGACCAGUGCCCUUUCUAUUGUGCAGCCCUAGUUGUCAGCAAGAGAAAGACCAGGUCAGCCAAGCACACAUACACCUAGGUUAUCCAAAGCAAGGCAUUAAUGAUGGAUCCAUGCUAUACAUAUUUUUUCCUUUGUAAUUCUACAAUGAUUGGCUUAAUUAUUUUAUUUGGUGGUUACUUAAUUAAAGAAUAGGUAAUAAUUAAUUCAUAAAUUUUUGGAAUAUGUGGAUAAAAUUACAUUCAGUAUUAUGUUGAUGUUCAGUGUCAUUUUUUGAGAUAUCUUUGUUACAAUUGUCAGAAGGUUGUUGUUUCAGUUGCUUUUAGAUAAAUAACAUAGGGAAUUUUUGCUGUGUUUCCUGAAUAGCUAAGUAAAUAUAUAUACACACACACAUAUAGAUAUACUCAAUAAG